rnacentral:rRNA from 1 species
GGGCUCACACAAGCGGUGGAGGAUGUGGCUUAAUUCGAGGCUACGCGAAGAACCUUAUCCUAGUCUUGACAUGCUUAAGAACCUCUCUGAAAGGAGAGGGUGCCUUCGGGAACUUUUGCACAGGUGCUGCAUGGCUGUCGUCAGCUCGUGUCGUGAGAUGUCGGGUUAAGUCCCUUAACGAGCGAAACCCUUGUCUCUAGUUGCCAGCGAGUUAUGUCGGGGACUCUAGAGAGACUGCCGGUGUUAAACCGGAGGAAGGUGGGGAUGACGUCAAGUCCUCAUGGCCUUUAUGACUAGGGCUGCACACGUCCUACAAUGCGGCAUACAAAGGGAAGCAAACCCGCGAGGGGGAGCAAACCCCAAAAAGUGUCGCUCAGUUCGGAUUGCAGGCUGCAACUCGCCUGCAUGAAGUUGGAAUCGCUAGUAAUCGCGGGUCAGCAUACCGCGGUGAAUGUGUUCCUGAGCCUU